rnacentral:misc_RNA from 1 species
UCUUCUUCUUCUUCUUCUUCUUCCGGACCUUGAUAGCCAUUCCCUGCUACACCUUGUCCAUAUUCCCCUGCUCUACUAAGGUUACUAUAUUCUCUUCUUUCAUCGUCUUCUUCAUCAUCGGCGUCAUUGUAGGGUACAAGUGGGUUAUCAAUGAUUUGUGGAGAAGGAGAUGCAGAAGGAGAAUCGUGUUCAAUCACUCUCCGCCGCUUUGGGGCACCUUUCUCACUCUCCAUAUUAUUAUCUUCUCUUGUUGUUUUCAUUUUCUGUACUCUCUUCAGAUGUCACUGUGAAACAGAACCAUCGUCGUGGAGAACAGCCGUCUAUUGAAGGACCCGGAAGAGAGAGUGAUAACAGCAGCAGGGUGAUAGAUAGGGACAGAUUAGUCGAAAUAGCC